CAUCAAGUGUAAUACCCCAUAUCAUGUUAAUCCUAGUUGUAAAAAGAAAAGAAAAAGAAGGAUAGUAGUAGGCUGCCCAUCUAUCAAACCAAAAUAAAAAGGAAGAACGAAAUAAAGGGCUUAAGCCUACCUCAGUCUAAAAAAGAAAAAAACAAAAAGAUGGAAAGGGUUUAAAAUUGGCCCAUCUACCAAUAUUCAUAUAAUGAAAAAGAAAAGGGAACUUUUUCCCAUUAAUCUGUUAGAAAGGCACCAAUUGGGAGCAACCAAAGUGGUAAGUAAUCUGUCUAUCAUGCAAUAAGAGGGGAAAAAAUCAAUUGUUCGUUCAGUUAAAAGAAAAGAAAAGCGUAAGAGUUUGAUUGGGAAAUUCUUCUGGGUUUAAGAUUUGAUCGAAGAGAGUGAUACAAAUCGUUCAAGGUGAUAAAUUUGGUAUUUCGUCACAUGUACUAACACAGGUAACGAUGAGAAUCUUGUUAGCUAGAGGAUUCGAGUGACAAAUUCCUGGUUAAGAAGUUAGCUGAAGAAGAAACUUGGAAGAAUAGUAGAAAAAGGCCACUGAUAGUCAAUAUGGUGAACCGUCAGUCAUGCGACGGACCAUCAGGGUGCCAUCAGAGUAAAACAAAAAUGAGCACAUGAGUAACCCCUACGACGGUCCAAAUGGUGGAUCGUCAGUAACUCGAUGGAUUGCCAACUUGGUCGUCAAUCUGGAACAGAACCUGGAUAUCUGGAGGAUCAAGUAACGGUACCUGUGAUGGGCUGUCGAACCAGCGAUGUACCACCGACAUAACCGUCAACCCCUAUCCAGAACAUGACAUUUUGGGACUCUUAACGAUGGUCCACUCGACGUAUCGUCAGUCUACCGAAGGGCCGUCGAUGUGACCAUCAACUUGGAAGUGGCUUUUUAUGAGUUUAAAUUUUAAAUCCUCUGCACCUGGGAACAUAUAAAUACCCAGUUUAGGUUUUAUUUAAGUAUCUUUAUCAUAUUUCCAUCUUUGAAUAUUAUUGUACGUAGUAUUCUAUGAGAUUCAAGCUAGAAUCGUGGAUCUAAACAUUUUAUGCCUAUUCUCUUCUGAAGAUUCAAGAACAAAUCUUGUGAUUUUUGUAAGUAAUUUUUGAAUUUAUUUAUGAGAAACAUAAUGACUUCUUCUUCUU